rnacentral:misc_RNA from 1 species
CUGUUGAUGACAGUCUCAUUGACAGAAAGUUGAUUGAAAGGCUCCUUAAAACCUCUUCUUAUCAUGUUACUGCGGUUGAUUCAGGAAGUAAGGCCUUGGAGUUUUUGGGUUUGAAUGAAGAUGAACACACAGAUUCAAUCCUGACUUCUGUUUCUUCAGACCAUCAUCAUCAUCAUCAUCAGGAUGUUGAAGUAAAUUUGAUCAUUACAGAUUACUGUAUGCCUGGGAUGACCGGCUAUGAUCUCCUUAGAAAGAUCAAGGAAUCUAAAACUUUUAAGGACAUACCAGUUGUGAUCAUGUCCUCAGAGAAUGUUCCAUCAAGAAUUGAUAGAUGCUUGGAAGAAGGAGCUGGAGAAUUCUUCCUGAAGCCAGUUCAAUUAUCAGAUAUGAACAAGCUUAGACCCCAUUUGAUGAGAGGAAAAGUUGAAGAAAAUAAGCCUAAUAACCAGACAAAGGGUGACAUGGAAGAAAUUCACUCACCACGGGGAACAAGAACAAGAUAUAAUGGCAUGGAAGUUGUCUGAUUAACAAAAUAUUUGCUUAAUUAUAGAGCAUAGUAUAGGAAAUUCCUAAAAAAUUUCCCCCCCUUCUUUUAAAAUCUCUUUGAAAACACAGGCUCAAUGCAAAUUUAGAUGAAUGUUGGAGCUUAAAUUAGGUUCCCCUGUAAAUUACUAACAAGGAAAAUAUUCAUUUACAUUUGCAUUGAGCCUGUGUUUUCAAAGAGAUUUUAAAAGAAGGGGGGGAAAUUUUUUAGGAAUUUCCUAUACUAUGCUCUAUAAUUAAGCAAAUAUUUUGUUAAUCAGACAACUUCCAUGCCAUUAUAUCUUGUUCUUGUUCCCCGUGGUGAGUGAAUUUCUUCCAUGUCACCCUUUGUCUGGUUAUUAGGCUUAUUUUCUUCAACUUUUCCUCUCAUCAAAUGGGGUCUAAGCUUGUUCAUAUCUGAUAAUUGAACUGGCUUCAGGAAGAAUUCUCCAGCUCCUUCUUCCAAGCAUCUAUCAAUUCUUGAUGGAACAUUCUCUGAGGACAUGAUCACAACUGGUAUGUCCUUAAAAGUUUUAGAUUCCUUGAUCUUUCUAAGGAGAUCAUAGCCGGUCAUCCCAGGCAUACAGUAAUCUGUAAUGAUCAAAUUUACUUCAACAUCCUGAUGAUGAUGAUGAUGAUGGUCUGAAGAAACAGAAGUCAGGAUUGAAUCUGUGUGUUCAUCUUCAUUCAAACCCAAAAACUCCAAGGCCUUACUUCCUGAAUCAACCGCAGUAACAUGAUAAGAAGAGGUUUUAAGGAGCCUUUCAAUCAACUUUCUGUCAAUGAGACUGUCAUCAACAGCAAGAACAUGGAACUGAUGAGACUCACCAGCCAUACCGAUAGUAAUUGCAA